rnacentral:rRNA from 1 species
AUUGAACGCUGGCGGCAUGCCUUACACAUGCAAGUCGAACGGUAACAGGCCGCAAGGUGCUGACGAGUGGCGAACGGGUGAGUAAUGCAUCGGAACGUGCCCAGUCGUGGGGGAUAACGCAUCGAAAGCUGCGCUAACACCGCAUACGAUCCAUGGAUGAAAGCGGGGGACCGAAAGGCCUCGCGCCAUUGGAGAGGCCGAUGUCAGAUUAGGUAGUUGGUGGGGUAAAGGCUCACCAAGCCAACGAUCUGUAGCUGGUCUGAGAGGACGACCAGCCACACUGGGAAUGAGACACGGCCCAGACUCCUACGGGAGGCAGCAGUGGGGAAUUUUGGACAAUGGGCGCAAGCCUGAUCCAGCAAUGCCGCGUGCAGGAAGAAGGCCUUCGGGUUGUAAACUGCUUUUGUACGGAACGAAACGGCUCUGGUUAAUACCUGGGGCUAAUGACGGUACCGUAAGAAUAAGCACCGGCUAACUACGUGCCAGCCGCCGCCGUAAUAC